CAAGUCGAGCGGCAGCGGGAAGUAGUUUACUACUUUGCCGGCGAGCGGCGGACGGGUGAGUAAUGUCUGGGAAACUGCCUGAUGGAGGGGGAUAACUACUGGAAACGGUAGCUAAUACCGCAUGACCUCGCAAGAGCAAAGUGGGGGACCUUCGGGCCUCACGCCAUCGGAUGUGCCCAGAUGGGAUUAGCUAGUAGGUGGGGUAAUGGCUCACCUAGGCGACGAUCCCUAGCUGGUCUGAGAGGAUGACCAGCCACACUGGAACUGAGACACGGUCCAGACUCCUACGGGAGGCAGCAGUGGGGAAUAUUGCACAAUGGGCGCAAGCCUGAUGCAGCCAUGCCGCGUGUGUGAAGAAGGCCUUCGGGUUGUAAAGCACUUUCAGCGAGGAGGAAGGCAGUCGUGUUAAU
rnacentral:rRNA from 3 species